GUUACCUGAUUUGCUGUCGAGAGCCUUGUUCUUGGUGUGCUCAGUUUCCUCUUCCUGGGUGCCAAAGACUGGGACUUGUAGCCUCUGCGGUCAUCUCCUUUCUCUCCUUUCCCGGGUCUCCGUUCGUCCCGUCGUAACGUGACCAGGAGGAUGGCCGCUACCCUUGAGCGGGAGUGCGGCGCCCUGGAGCAGGGCCGAGAGCCAGCUGGAAAGGGAUGAAGACUUCGCAGGUGAACCAGUUCAACGUGAAGGAAGAGAAGUUAGGCUUGUGGACACCAACACGGUAAUGGUUAACCUUUGGGCUUUAAGUACCAGCACUGGGCCAAGUGCUUCACUUUUUCCUAGAACUUUUCCGUGCUCUUAACAAGUAGGUAGUAGGUGAGCGACCGUUUGCAUUCGAUCAGUCUUGAGGGAAUGAGACGUGAAAUAUUUUAGGGUACUGGGCUUCUCUGCUGACCUCUGCACAGCACUAUUCCCAUUAUCCGCUUUCCCAGCAUUGAUUUAUGGUCUAGGUACAAAUUAAAAUCUUGAAGACAAGUCUGCUCUUAAGGUGACCAGACAUACCUGUGGAAGUGUGGCAUCCUGUAGGGCAGACUGAAAUGCAUGUGCUCAGUGAAGGGUACUUGCCUGGAGAGACAUAGAAUGAAGGACUGUGCUGGAGAGAAGAGGUGAGUUGGGGCUGGGGAGAGUUGGUUGAGGAAGACCACUUCAUGACAGUGGAUUCCUGCCUGGCCAUCCUGGUUGUAGGGAGGCUGAGCUGUUCCUGCAGCUUAGGAGGGUUAUGGUAAUAGCAAAUCAGAGAAUGUAGAAGGCCAGAUCUUAAGAAUGGUGUGGGAAGGAGGAAGUUGGGGCAGGGCUGGGGAGGAUAGCAGAUGGGAGAGUCUGGCUUGCCUCCUUUUUGUGAAUGAAAGUCUGAGGAGAACACAGAUGUUAUUUGAGAGGAGUGCUGCAGGAUGAAGCACGGGUGGAGGGAGUACUAAUGUGUGGCUGAUGAUGACAGGAUAGAAGGCACGUUGUCAGUGUGGGCAUGGGAAGAAGAGAGAUGGAGUGUGUGAAUGGAUAGAAAGGUGUGCCCUAGAAAUCCUGUAUGAGGCCAGGUCAGAGGAGAGACACCUAGUAAUAUUUUGUCUCUGGAAAAUCGAGUGAGAAGAGACACAAAGGAAUUGCUUAGAGGUUCUACUGCAUGCAGAUUAAGUAUAGAUAACAAGAAUGCUCUGUAGCUUCCAAAAGCUUUAAAGGAAGAAUUGUGAAAGUUUUCAUCCUAAACCUAAUCAAAGUUGGAUGCUGAGCUGGGAGACUGUGGGAUUUCAGUUUAAGACCAGCCCAGGCAAAAUGAUUGUGGUGAGACCCAUAUUUAAACCAAGACAAUUCUGUGCAUGGUGGUACAUUGCUUUCUUCCCAGCUAAAUAUGAAGCAUUAACAGGAUGAUGUCCCAGGCUAGUAUUGAAAAAACCCUUUCAAAAAAAAUAAAGCAGGGCUGGGAAUGUGGCUCAGUGGUAAAAUGCUUUCCUGGCAUUC